ACAGUUGGAAUAUUGGUUUGACCAGGAUAAUUAUUUUUCAGCUGAUCACUGUUAUAAGAUAGCACUGCACAACGUGCCACUGUCCGUCUAUCUUACUGUUAGUGAAUGUCUAAAGCUGAAUCAGAUAAAUCAUGAUACAAUAUGAUCUGGCAGGCUGUUUACACUUGGCCUGAUGAUCUCAUCCACUCAAGGAUAACAGUUUUGGAUUUCCAUAUAAACUGAAGCAAGUCUUGUUUGGCGAUGCAGCAGGCAUGUAACAGUUUUUCCAAAUAUGCAGCACUUUUACUAGAACCCCUAAAUGUAAAUCAACCCUUGUGUCCCAUUGAAGUUGGGUGAGUCUCUGUGUUGACUGUAGAUGUCUGUGUUUUAAUGGAUAUAAUAUCCUUCCUCACUUGCCCUCUGUUUUAGGAUCCUGAAUCUGGUGACCGGCCAAGGAGCGACAUGGGCGAGCACACAUGGGUCAGUGGCUCUGUUGUAGAGUGUGUCUGGGGUGGCCAUCGCGAAGACCUGAGGAGCAGAGGAUGACAUCAACACUGUUGUUGCCAGGACCAUGACAGGCAUGCUGUACAAGUCCACAGGUGAUGUACGUGUGACAGCGUGAGGGGGCCUGGCCGGCAGGUCUAUAUGGCCUGUACAACAACUGGGACCAACUUAAGGAAAACUGGAGGAUGGACCAGUCAAAACGUUUCCCCAAAAUAUAUCCUUUUUCCUUUGUAGACAUACAGUGCCUUCAGAAGGUAUUCAUACCCCUUGACUUUUUCCACAUUUUGUUGUUACAGCCGGAAUUCAAAAUGUAUUAAAUGUGUUUUUUUAUCACAUAUCUACACACAAUACCACAUAAUGACAAAGUGAAAACAUGUUUUUUGAAAGUUUAGCAAAUUUAUUGAAUAUGAAAUACAGAAAUAUCACAUUUACGUAAGUAUUCACACCCCUGACUCAAUACUUUGUAGAAGCACCUUUGGCAGCGAUUACAGAUGUCAGUCUGUCAGAGCUUUCAACACCUGGAUUGUGCAACAUUUUUCAAUAGUCUUCAAGCUCUGUCAAAUUGUUUUUUGAUCAUUACUACAGAAGCAUUUUCAGGUCUUGCCAUAGAUUUAAGUAGAUUUAAGUCAAAACUAACUAUGACACUCAGGAACAUUUUCUUCCACUAGCUUUGCUGCAUUCUCCUGACGUCAUCAGAGUGUGCGGCUGAACACUGUAUACUGGAAACACUUGGUUUAGUUUUAGUUAAAAUAAAAAUCUUUGUUUAACAUAAAUACCUAACUUGUUUUUGCAUGAAUUCAUGAGACGCAGUUAGGAAUGGAAAAUAAGUCUGACUGCACAACUGAUUGGCAAAUGUACUGCAAAUUGAGAAAUCAUGUGACUAAACUGAAUAUAAUUAGAAACUAUACUAUGAAACAAAGAUAGAUAGUUAACACCAAUGACAUUUUGGGGAAAAAGGCAAAAACUCCAUCAUUCAAUGAAUCAAAUGCCUCAUUCAUUACAAAACCGACUGAUAUUGGUAACUACUUUAAUGAUUUUCUCAUUGGCAAGAUUAGGCAUGGGAUGCCAGCAACAAACGCUGACACUACACAUCCAAGUAUAUCGGACCAAAUUAUGA